rnacentral:hammerhead_ribozyme from 1 species
AUCCAGCUGACGAUUCUCGAAUAGGACGAAGCGCUAGUCCUGGAU